GGAUAACUGUGGUAAUUCUAGAGCUAAUACAUGCAACUGAGCUCCGACCCAGUAUCGAGCGACUCAGGUCACUUGGUGCUGGGGAAGAGUGCAUUUAUUAGAUCCGAAAGUAAACCGACCGGACCUCGGUCCGUCAAAUCCAAAAACAAUCGGAUGAAUCCGAAUAACUUAGCCGAGCGCUACGGCCUUCGAGCCGGCGCCGUAUCCUUCGAGUGUCUGCCUUAUCAGCUCUCGAUUGUAGGUUACACGCCUACAAUGGCUGUAACGGGUAACGGGGAAUCAGGGUUCGAUUCCGGAGAGGGAGCCUGAGAAACGGCUACCACAUCUAAGGAAGGCAGCAGGCACGCAAAUUACCCACUCCCGGCACGGGGAGGUAGUGACGAAAAAUAACGAUGUGGGACUCUUCCGAGGCCCCGCAAUCGGAAUGAGUCCAGCCUAAAUCCUUGGACGAGGAUCCAUUGGAGGGCAAGUCUGGUGCCAGCAGCCGCGGUAAUUCCAGCUCCAAUAGCGUAUAUUAAAGUUGCUGCGGUUAAAAAGCUCGUAGUUGGAUCUUGGAUUCGGACCGGCGGCCCACCCAAGGUACGCCCCCGCCAUUAUGGGACCGGGACGGAUCACUGCGUAGCUCAGUUCCCUUGGGCUUUGCUCUUNGGGGACCAGAGAACGUUGCUGUAUCUAGCGCCCGUGUCUCGGUGGGUUUUAGCGCGCCCGGUUGGAUCACCGCCCGGCUCUGGAUUACAAAUACCGUCGGCUCACAUGGGGUGCUCUUCACCGAGUGUCCCGCGUGGCCGGCACGUUCACUUUGAAAAAAUUAGAGUGCUCAGAGCAGGCUUAAAACCAACGCCCGAAUGGUGUUGCAUGGAAUGAUGGAACAGGACCUCGGUCUCGGGCCUUUGUCGGUUUUCGGGACCGGAGGUAAUGAUUAAAGGGAACAGACGGGGGCAUUCGUAUUGCGACGCUAGAGGUGAAAUUCUUGGACCGUCGCAAGACGAACUACUGCGAAAGCAUUUGCCAAGGAUGUUUUCGUUAAUCAAGAACGAAAGUUAGAGGAUCGAAGGCGAUCAGAUACCGCCCUAGUUCUAACUGUAAACUAUGCUGACCGGCUAUCCGCCGAAGACAUUCCCACGUCUCGGCGGGUAUCCCCCGGGAAACCAGAGUUUCUGAGUUCCGGGGGAAGUAUGGUUGCAAAGCUGAAACUUAAAGGAAUUGACGGAAGGGCACCACCAGGAGUGGAGCCUGCGGCUUAAUUUGACUCAACACGGGGAAACUCACCAGGCCCAGACACCGGAAGGAUUGACAGAUUGAGAGCUCUUUCUCGAUUCGGUGGGUGGUGGUGCAUGGCCGUUCUUAGUUGGUGGAGCGAUCUGUCUGCUUAAUUGCGAUAACGAACGAGACUCUGCCCUGCUAAAUAGUCGGCGGAUCGACUCCCGUGGUCGAUGGGUUCUUUGACCGAUGCUUGGGGCUGGGUUCUCUCGGGGCUUGUUUUCUUGGCUGGCAUUUCGGUGACAGUCUGGAGCUGGCUUCGGGUUCCAGUUCUCUAGGCUCGGUUGAUCCUCACGGCUCAUUCGGGGCGUCCGUCGCAACUUCUUCUUAGAGGGAUCGGCAGCGGCCAGCUGCACGAGAUUGAGCAAUAACAGGUCUGUGAUGCCCUUAGAUGUUCUGGGCCGCACGCGCGCUACAAUGGAGGGAUCAGCGAGCUCCCCGCUCCGAGAGGAGCGGGUAACCCGCCGAAAUCCCUCCUCAAUGGGGAUUGGGGCUUGUAAAUGUUUCCCAUGAACGAGGAAUUCCCAGUAAGCGCGAGUCACCAACUUGCGCUGAUUACGUCCCUGCCCUUUGUACACACCGCCCGUCGCUACUACCGAUUGAACGAUUCAGUGAGGGCAUUGGACUGGCGCCCGUGGCACGGUCUGUGACACCUAUCAACGUUCUCUUCGGAGUUCGGGGUUGUUUCAGGCACCGCGGGCUGACGGAAAGAUGUCCGAACUUGAUCGUUUAGA
rnacentral:rRNA from 1 species